rnacentral:rRNA from 1 species
CUAGCGACUUCAGAGUUUGAUCCUGGCUCAGGAUAAACGCUGGCGGCGCACAUAAGACAUGCAAGUCGAACGGAAGUCGUAUAUAAACAGAAUGACGAUUUAUCUGAAUGAAGUUUAUAUACAAUGGCUUUAGUGGCGGACUGGUGAGUAAUACGUAAGCAACCUGCCUAUUAGAGGGGAACAACAGUUAGAAAUGACUGCUAAUACCGCAUAUGCCGUAAUGGAGACAUCUCCAUAGUGGGAAAGGAGCAAUCCGCUAAUAGAUGGGCUUACGGCUGAUUAGCUAGUAGGUGGGGUAACGGCCUACCUAGGCGACGAUCAGUAGCCGGACUGAGAGGUUGAACGGCCACAUUGGGACUGAGAUACGGCCCAG